CGCAUGUCAGGAAGUGCCUCACACGGCUCCCAGGCCGAGUGUGCGAUUUCCCAACCAUCCCUGGCUGUUGCGGACCCCGUUUCCCGUCUCCCUUUCCGGAGUCCUUUCCCCUCCAGGCCGGGCUCGCUGUGCCGCCCUUCCCACCUCCCUUUGGCGGCCUUGUCCUGACCGCCGUGCUCGGCCCCUCCCGGAGCUCCAGGCGGUUCUGCCCGCCCGCAGUGGAAAUCUUUCUUGCAAACAGGAUUGUGAGUUGGAAUUGCAAGAGUGCUCCAGUUGAACUGGAUUUGCUCUCCAGCUGCCCCAAGCAGCUUGAAAGGACAAAGCAAAGCCUGUGGACACAGUKGUGACUGGUGGGCAAAUAAUUAUUUAUUGUCAGC
rnacentral:lncRNA from 1 species